CCUACGGGAGGCAGCAGUGGGGAAUAUUGCACAAUGGGGGAAACCCUGAUGCAGCGACGCCGCGUGAGUGAAGAAGUAUUUCUGUAUGUAAAGCUCUAUCAGCAGGGAAGAAAAUGACGGUACCUGAUUAAUAAGCCCCGUCUAACUACGUGCCAGCAGCCGCGGUACUACGGAGGGGGCAAGCUUUAUCCGGAUUUACUGGGUGUAAAGGGAGAGUAGACGGCAUCACAAGUCGGGAGUGAAAUGCCGGGGCUUAACCCCGGAACUGCUUUGGAAACUGUGCAGCUAGAGUGCAGGAGAGGCAAGUGGAAGUCCUGGGGUAGCGGUGAAAUGCGUAGAUAUUAGGAGGAACACCAGUGGCGAAGGCGGCUUACUGGACUGUAACUGACGUUGAGGCACGAAAGCGUGGGGAGCAAACAGGAUUAGAUACCCCGGUAGUC
rnacentral:rRNA from 1 species